AUUGAACGCUGGCGGCAGGCCUAACACAUGCAAGUCGAGCGAGCGGCGGACGGGUGAGUAAUGUCUGGGAAACUGCCUGAUGGAGGGGGAUAACUACUGGAAACGGUAGCUAAUACCGCAUACCAUCAGAUGUGCCCAGAUGGGAUUAGCUAGUAGGUGGGGUAACGGCUCACCUAGGCGACGAUCCCUAGCUGGUCUGAGAGGAUGACCAGCCACCCUGGAGCGGAGACACGGUCCAGACGCCUACGGGAGGCAGCAGUGGGGAAUAUGGCACAAUGGGCGGAAGCCUUGUGCAGCCAUGCCGCGUGUGUGAAGGAGGCGUUCGGGUUGUAAAGCACUUUCAGCGGGGAGGCGUUACCCGCAGAAGAAGCACCGGCUAACUCCGUGCCAGCAGCCGCGGUAAUUC
rnacentral:rRNA from 1 species